rnacentral:rRNA from 1 species
UGGGGAAUAUUGCACAAUGGGCGCAAGCCUGAUGCAGCCAUGCCGCGUGUAUGAAGAAGGCCUUCGGGUUGUAAAGUACUUUCAGCGGGGAGGAAGGCGAUGCGGUUAAUAACCGCGUCGAUUGACGUUACCCGCAGAAGAAGCACCGGCUAACUCCGUGCCAGCAGCCGCGGUAAUACGGAGGGUGCAAGCGUUAAUCGGAAUUACUGGGCGUAAAGCGCACGCAGGCGGUAUGUCAAGUCGGAUGUGAAAUCCCCGGGCUCAACCUGGGAACUGCAUCCGAAACUGGCAGGCUUGAGUCUCGUAGAGGGGGGUAGAAUUCCAGGUGUAGCGGUGAAAUGCGUAGAGAUCUGGAGGAAUACCGGUGGCGAAGGCGGCCUCCUGGACGAAGACUGACGCUCAGGUGCGAAAGCGUGGGGAGCAAACA